rnacentral:rRNA from 1 species
GACGAACGCUGGCGGCGUGCCUAAUACAUGCAAGUUGAGCGAUGAAGAUUGGUGCUUGCACCAAUUUGAAGAGCAGCGAACGGGUGAGUAACGCGUGGGGAAUCUGCCUUUGAGCGGGGGACAACAUUUGGAAACGAAUGCUAAUACCGCAUAAUAACUUUAAACAUAAGUUUUAAGUUUGAAAGAUGCAAUUGCAUCACUCAAAGAUGAUCCCGCGUUGUAUUAGCUAGUUGGUGAGGUAAAGGCUCACCAAGGCGAUGAUACAUAGCCGACCUGAGAGGGUGAUCGGCCACAUUGGGACUGAGACACGGCCCAAACUCCUACGGGAGGCAGCAGUAGGGAAUCUUCGGCAAUGGACGAAAGUCUGACCGAGCAACGCCGCGUGAGUGAAGAAGGUUUUCGGAUCGUAAAACUCUGUUGGUAGAGAAGAACGUCGGUGAGAGUGGAAAGCUCAUCAAGUGACGGUAACUACCCAGAAAGGGACGGCUAACUACGUG